GCCGGGCACGGUGGCGCACGCCUCUAAUCCCCGUGGCUUGGGAGGCUGAGGCAGGAGGAUCUUGAGUUCAAAGCCAGCCUUAGAAAAAGUGAGGUGCUAAGCAACUCAGUGAGACCCUGUUUCUA
rnacentral:sRNA from 1 species